GGGGGGGCAUCUCCUACCUCGACUCCGAGAAAAACACAACCGCCGCCGGAUUUCUCUCCGUGAACAACCCCUAGAUGUCGCGCCUCGCAAUGCGCCAACUAGCCGGUUCCGGGGUGUAUAUAUAUCCAUCCUUGGCUGACGCUACUCUUCAUCCUCGCACACCAAAUCAGUGGUCGCCGGACCAGGGGCAUAGGCUAGAAUCUACGCCGCCACCGCCGCUGUGGAAUUUGCAAUUCCAUCGCUGCUCUCGCCUGUGUGCGUGACUGGUCUCGUCUCCGGGAGCUAGGGGAGGUGUUGGCAAGGAAAUCAGCUUGAAAGGAUCGCGGUACGCACGUGAAUUGCUCGCCGGUAUUGGGAAUUGCCGCCUGGCCGCCGUGCCCCAUGGUCAGCUAUGUCGCAGUUCCUUCUCGCAUUGAGGUCACGAGCC
rnacentral:lncRNA from 7 species